GCUCCCACCUGGAGACUGACACGAUGUGACCGGUAUUGCAACAUCAGUAGUAGGAUCAAGGAGGAUCGAAAUGAACCAAUCGGCAUCAAGCUUGGAAAUCGCACCUGAACGGGAGCCUUGCCUGUAGCCAAUCACCAUCACGCACUGUUCAAAUAGCAAAUACGCGGGCACUUGAACUCAACCGGCAGUUCAAGUUCAACGGUCGAUCUGUUUUGGCGGUCGUCUAGCGUCGGCGGCUGCAAGACGAUUACGCAUCCUAUGCCUUCACCUGCAACAGCACAGUCCAGCGACAAGUAAGGACGUGUCCCUAGUCCAAAAGACUUCAACUACGAAAUUACGCUGUUGUACGGUCUUGGUUGAACGUGGUCUAGCUGUCAGAAACGGCUAGGUACUUUGAUUGUCGCUAACAACUUCAGAUGCUUCACAUUUUCUGUUGGUAUUGUACGUAGGUGAAAACAUCGAUGAAGAGGCCUACCCCACCUCAAAGAUGUCGACAGUUUCUUCCUGUACAAAUAUGUAUGGGGCUGAGAUUGAGGCUUUUGGAGAAGAUUCGAUAAUACAAAUACAGAAAACGAUAAAAUCUUCUGAGUGCUCAACCAAAGGUCGCUCAUGACGGUUACACUGGAAGAAACCGAAGCUGCUGCUAGCGAUUCAUCACCUGGGCAAGAGAAUCAUCAGAAACCAAGUGAAAAAGCAGACUAGCAAACCGCGUAGCCUUCGAUCGCCACGAGGACACUAGUUUUGUAGAUAUCUUCUAAUCACCUAGCUAAGCCUGCAGUGUACCGUACUGUGGUCUAGUAGCUGAAUAGUAAUAAAUGAACGA